CAGACUAGCAGCCCAAACAAAACUGCCGCUUCCGCACUGCUUCCUUGUUUAUUUGUUUUGAGGAAAACACCGCCUUUAUAAAAGAAUAAAAAGUAUUUUUUUAAUUGAAUUAGAAGCUAUAAGAACGUCUAAACACGAUUUUCUGGUCCACGCCUUGCUGAACUGACGUCACCGAUACAUUUGAAGCUAAGGGGUGAAUAAAGACCCCCAGUUUCCUCCAAAGCAAGUCCAGAGUGUAGUUUCUUGUCUGAAUGGCCACAGCUGCAGAAGAGCCUCCAGGGCUACAGGGCCAGACUGGCAACUUGAAUGGGUCUCGAAAAAAUGCUUCAGCUGAGGGUCCAAGUGCUAGCACAUCUCAGGCUUUGAAAAAAAUCGGGCAUCGUGGGAUCGAUCCCACUGGGGAGACGACGUACAAGAAGACAACAUCAUCAGCUCUGAAAGGUGCUAUCCAGUUAGGCAUCACGCACACGAUAGGCAGCUUAAGUCAAAAACCUGAAAGAGAUGUGCUGCUGCAGGACUUUGAGGUGGUGGAGAGCAUCUUCUUCCCCUGUGAGGGUAGUAACCUGACACCGGCACACCACUAUGGAGACUUCAGGUUCAAAACAUACGCCCCAAUGGCCUUCCGCUACUUCAGAGAGAUGUUUGGCAUCCGGCCCGAUGACUACAUGUAUUCUCUGUGUAACGAGUCGCUGAUCGAGCUGUCCAACUCCGGGGCGAGUGGAUCCUUGUUCUACGUCUCUAGAGAUGAUGAGUAUAUCAUCAAGACGGUGCAGCACAAAGAGGCAGAAUUUCUGCAGAAACUGCUGCCUGGAUACUUCAUGAACCUGAACCAGAACAAGCGGACCUUAUUACCAAAGUUUUAUGGGCUGUAUUGCGUCCAGUCAGCUGGUAAAAACAUCCGCAUUGCAGUCAUGAAUAAUCUGCUUCCUUGUGCAGUACGAAUGCACCUCAAGUAUGAUCUAAAGGGCUCUACCUACAAGCGACGAGCCUCGGCUAAAGAAAGAGAAAAGGCUGUACCCACAUAUAAGGACCUGGAUUUCAUCCAGGACAUGCCUGAAGGGCUCUCGUUGGACGCUGAUAAGUACAAUGCUCUUUGCAAGACCCUCCAGAGAGACUGCUUGCUCCUGCAGAGUUUCAAGAUUAUGGAUUACAGCCUUCUGGUGGGAAUUCAUAACGUAGAUCAGGCCUGUCAGGAGCAGGCCAACGAGGAGGCGGGGGCUGGGGAAAAGGGUCAAGUUCAAAAGGCUCUGUACAGCACGGCUAUAGAGGCCAUUCAAGCAGAGGUGGGACGCAUGGGAUCCAUGGAAACCGAGGACAGAACGGGAGGAAUCCCUGCACGAAACUCGAAAGGCGAGAGGCUGCUGGUGUACAUCGGUAUUAUUGACAUUCUUCAGUCUUAUAGAUUGGCAAAGAAGCUUGAACACUCCUGGAAGGCUCUGGUUCAUGAUGGGGACACUGUAUCAGUGCACAGACCGGGUUUCUAUGCCGAGCGAUUUCAGAAGUUUAUGUGCAACACAGUGUUUAGAAAGAAUGCAUUGAAGACCUCCCCUUCUAAGAAGCGCCGUGCAGGAGCCGGUCCUGUGAAAAGAGCGGCUGGCUCUGGACCUUCUCUGAUGACCCAAGCUAGCAGCAGCAGCACCGCCCAGAGUCCUUUGCUCCAACAUCAAGCCAGUUCAGACACCAGAGAGGACAGCGAAGCAGACAAAAUUAUGCUCGCAGGUCGUCCUGACCUCCUCCCAGAUACCAUUCCUCCACGCAACCCUGUUGCUAGCGCUGUUGAAACUGCCAUCUCCUCCUUGGGAAGCCCCAGAUUUUUACCAGCAAGUCGUCUUCAGUCUAACACUCGGGGAGAAUCUUCGAACAAGCAAAACGAGGAAGACAGUACCCCCAAGGGGGCUCAGUCUAGGACUCUUGAAGAAAGUGGUGCUGAGGAAGCAAUCUCACUCAGCGACGUAGUCCCGUGUGUAAGCAGCUGCUCAGUGUAGAUGUGAGGAAAAAGAAUGACUUGAAGGAUGUUCUGAGCCUUCCUGAAAUCUUAUAACUCCCUUGGUAUGAUUUGAGCUGAAGCUAAUGUGGCCUUUAGCUGUCCUGCAGUAAGUCUGACCUUUCCAAUUUAGAUUAUAAUAGUAGCUCUCAAUAUAGUUCAACUUUUGUGAAAAUCCUGUGUUAAGAGAGGUGUGUGUUUAACUUUGUGAUAUGUUUGGAGGGUGUUUGUGCUGCUUCACAGGACACAGUGCACACCAGCACAGUGUGCACUGUUGGUAUAAUGCUGUUGCGCUUUUGUGACAAGAACAGCAUCGCUGACCAGCGUAACACCUGAAACAAACCCUCGCUGUCAAGGAGUUGCGGAGCUGCAGCAGUUUACGAGUUGCUGAUGAGCAUCGUGCGCAAAGAAAGCAUCUACUUCUAAAUUCAGACAUGACUGUCACCUGUACUUUGUGUGGGAUUUUUGUGUUUGUUUUUAAUUGAUUGUGUUAGUUUUUAAGUGAUUUUAUUUUUCAAAUCUAACAGCACAGGAAACUUUUCUAAAUGAACGUUUCAAAAUGUGUGGUGGAAUAGUUGGACCUACUUAAGUGUUAUUGUUGUUUUCGGUCUUUGUGGCCACUGAAAACAAGGGCAGGAUGUGCAAAAAAAAGAAAGUGAGUAAUAUAGAAUUGGUAGGAGCUUUGGCUGCUGAAUAUCUGAACUAUAAUCAUUGGUGGUACUGCAUUUUCUUUUCCACUAUUUACAUUUAUUUGCUGCCAGAAGCAAACUAAAUAAAACUGCAACUAUAUAUGACGGCUUCUAUAUACUUUCUAACUGAUUUAUGAUGUGCUGUCUUUGGUUAUUUUAUCAUUAUGCAUUCCUGUCCAUUCGCUUUUUACUCAUGCAUUCAGCAUUUCCUAAUUGCUACUAAUAUUUUUUGUCUAUAUUUAUUACAAUCUUAAUAUAACUUGUUGGUGCAAUUUCCCACAGGCUUUAGCAUUUCCCUCAACCUCUUAUUAAAUUCUGAUAUUGAUCUGUUGAUGUUGUCUUAUGAUUGUAAACCUCUCAGCAGGACCUGUAAAUCCAGGGUUAACAGAGCCGGUGGUGUUGAUUUUGUUAGGUAAAGCUAAGAGUAGUGAGACUGAAAACUGAGGGGUACCUAUUAUGGUUUAACUGCUAUUUUUUCAUUAGUUAAAUGGUGAUGGCUGCCUGAUGUGUAAAGGUGGACGCUAGCCUACCUUUUCAUAAGCUACAGUGGAGAUAAAGAGCUUACACACCUCUGUUAAAAUGCCAGGAUUUGCUGAUGUUAGCGUAAAAUUAUACCAAGAUAUUUGCAGGUUUUUUUCCACCUUUAAUGCGAUCUAUAACCUGUACAGUGGAACUAAAACUUAAAGUUUGUUGGAGCAUACAGAAUUCUUUCAGGGGGGGUACAUCUCAACUUUCUUCUUUGCAAAAAGCACUCCAAAUCUAACAGACUGUGAGGGUGUCUCCUCUGCACAGCCCCCUUUAGGUCAACCUG